rnacentral:rRNA from 1 species
ACAUGCAGUCGAACGAACUUCCGUUAAUUGAUUAUGACGUGCUUGCACUGAAUGAGAUUUUAACACGAAGUGAGUGGCGGACGGGUGAGUAACACGUGGGUAACCUGCCCAGAAGCAGGGGAUAACACCUGGAAACAGAUGCUAAUACCGUAUAACAGAGAAAACCGCCUGGUUUUCUUUUAAAAGAUGGCUCUGCUAUCACUUCUGGAUGGACCCGCGGCGCAUUAGCUAGUUGGUGAGGUAACGGCUCACCAAGGCGAUGAUGCGUAGCCGACCUGAGAGGGUAAUCGGCCACAUUGGGACUGAGACACGGCCCAGACUCCUACGGGAGGCAGCAGUAGGGAAUCUUCCACAAUGGACGCAAGUCUGAUGGAGCAACGCCGCGUGAGUGAAGAAGGGUUUCGGCUCGUAAAGCUCUGUUGUUAAAGAAGAACGUGGGUGAGAGUAACUGUUCACCCAGUGACGGUAUUUAACCAGAAAGCCACGGCUAACUACGUGCCAGCAGCCGCGGUAAUACGUAGGUGGCAAGCGUUAUCCGGAUUUAUUGGGCGUAAAGCGAGCGCAGGCGGUCUUUUAAGUCUAAUGUGAAAGCCUUCGGCUCAACCGAAGAAGUGCAUUGGAAACUGGGAGACUUGAGUGCAGAAGAGGACAGUGGAACUCCAUGUGUAGCGGUGAAAUGCGUAGAUAUAUGGAAGAACACCAGUGGCGAAGGCGGCUGUCUGGUCUGUAACUGACGCUGAGGCUCGAAAGCAUGGGUAGCGAACAGGAUUAGAUACCCUGGUAGUCCAUGCCGUAAACGAUGAUUACUAAGUGUUGGAGGGUUUCCGCCCUUCAGUGCUGCAGCUAACGCAUUAAGUAAUCCGCCUGGGGAGUACGACCGCAAGGUUGAAACUCAAAAGAAUUGACGGGGGCCCGCACAAGCGGUGGAGCAUGUGGUUUAAUUCGAAGCUACGCGAAGAACCUUACCAGGUCUUGACAUCUUCUGCCAACCUAAGAGAUUAGGCGUUCCCUUCGGGGACAGAAUGACAGGUGGUGCAUGGUUGUCGUCAGCUCGUGUCGUGAGAUGUUGGGUUAAGUCCCGCAACGAGCGCAACCCUUAUUACUAGUUGCCAGCAUUCAGUUGGGCACUCUAGUGAGACUGCCGGUGACAAACCGGAGGAAGGUGGGGACGACGUCAAAUCAUCAUGCCCCUUAUGACCUGGGCUACACACGUGCUACAAUGGAUGGUACAACGAGUCGCGAAACCGCGAGGUUUAGCUAAUCUCUUAAAACCAUUCUCAGUUCGGACUGUAGGCUGCAACUCGCCUACACGAAGUCGGAAUCGCUAGUAAUCGCGGAUCAGCAUGCCGCGGUGAAUACGUUCCCGGGCCUUGUACACACCGCCCGUCACACCUAUGAAGG